AUAUGCCCGCGUUAGGGAUUGAAGCGGCAUCCUUUUUUACCAUAGUAAAUAGUAGUGAUUUUAGAUUAAGAGAUUGCCACAGAAAAUUAGAAAUUUUUCUUCGCAAUGACGUAAAAAAGAUAUAGCGGAAAGCCCGACCCGAU
rnacentral:sRNA from 1 species